rnacentral:tRNA from 1 species
AGCCCCGUAGCCAAGCGGUAAGGCGCCUGGUUCUGACCCAGGUAAGCGCAGGUUCGAUCCCUGCCGGGGCUGCCA